CUUGGAAGGGAAGACAGAAGUCAGAGACUUUGGGAGGCAAAGCAGAUGAAAAGUGAAGGACACAGUAAUGAACGUACUGCAUAGGGGACUGUGGAAGGAAACCCCCAAAUCUGCAUACUAGCACAUUUGUAAUCAUUGGGUGGUUGACAAAAAGGAAAUAAAAACCACACUGUAAAAGAUCAUAAUCUCAUCUCAAGUCUAAAAUGAUUUCUACUAAAGAAGAUCCAUGACUAAGAGUUUACAUUUCAAAAUUACAAAAUGUACAAGGUUUUACAACAAAGGAGUGUCAAUAGACACAAUAAAGAACAGACUGAAAUCCUCCAGAAAGCUUCAGAAAAUAGUUGACCAUCUGAAAGACAUUAUACAAUGGUAUAUCCAAAAUUAUUAAAAGCCUAAAAGAAGGAACAUAAAACAAGACAAAAUAUACUAGAAAAGAUAACUUGGAGGAAGAGCAAAAAACCCAUUUCUAACAUUAAAAA